GUGCCUUCUCCGGUUCAAAUUUCUCCAAACUUUAUUGACAUACAAAGCAAAGUGACACAUACGUCGCCAAAAUAACUACACGAAAGAAAUCGUACAUCAAACAAGAGCAAAACCAAAGCAAUACUAAACUGAACCUUUUGCAUGCAAAGUGCUGAAUGAGGGCUGCCCCGGCGGUCAGUCUUCACCUCUGAGUCCAGCCUCUCCUGGGGACCCCCGGGGGCUGCCCCCGUGUUAACAUCCUGUGUAAGACAUUACCCACAAUCCCGCAGGACCUGGGUGCUGCGUUUGUGCUUGAAGGGCAGGAGGAACAUGGCUUCUGCGUAGCUCCACCAGUAAACUUGUUUACAUAACAUCUG